rnacentral:rRNA from 1 species
CCUACGGGAGGCAGCAGUGAGGAAUAUUGGUCAAUGGCCGGAAGGCUGAACCAGCCAUGCCGCGUGAAGGUCAGUGCCCUAUGGGCGUUAAACUUCUUUUGUGCGGGAGCAAUAAUGGUCACGUGUGGCCAGACGAGAGUACCGUACGAAUAAGCAUCGGCUAACUCCGUGCCCGCGGCCGCGGUAAUACGGGGGAUGCAAGCGUUUUCCGGAUUUAUUGGGUUUAAAGGGGGCGUAGGCUGUGAGGUAAGUCAGCGGUGAAAUGCCCCCGCGCAACGGGGUGACGUGCCAUUGAUACUGGCUGGCUGGAAUGCGGAUGCCGUGGGAGGAAUGUGUGGUGUAGCGGUGAAAUGCAUAGAUAUCACACAGAACACCGAUUGCGAAGGCAGCUCACGAAUCCGCGAUUGACGCUGAGGCACGAAAGCGUGGGUAUCAAACAGGAUUAGAUACCCUAGUAGUC